AUUGAACGCUGGCGGCAUGCCUUACACAUGCAAGUCGAACGGCAGCACGGGGCAACCUGGUGGCGAGUGGCGAACGGGUGAGUAAUGCAUCGGAACGUACCUUUCAGUGGGGGAUAACGUAGCGAAGGUUACGCUAAUACCGCAUAUUCUGUGAGCAGGAAAGCAGGGGAUCGCAAGACCUUGCGCUGGUUGAGCGGCCGAUGUCAGAUUAGCGAGUUGGUGAGGUAAAGGCUCACCAAGGCGACGAUCUGUAGCGGGUCUGAGAGGAUGAUCCGCCACACUGGAACGGAGACACGGUCCAGACUCCUACGGGAGGCAGCAGUGGGGAAUGUUGGACAAUGGGGGCAACCCUGAUCCAGCCAUGCCGCGUGAGUGAAGAAGGCCUUCGGGUUGUAAAGCUCUUUCGGCCGGGAAGAAAUCGCACGGGCUAAUACCCUGUGUGGAUGACGGUACCGGAAUAAGAAGCACCGGCUAACUACGUGCCAGCCGCCGCCGUAACAC
rnacentral:rRNA from 1 species